rnacentral:rRNA from 1 species
UACGUAGGGGGCUAGCGUUAUCCGGAAUUACUGGGCGUAAAGGGUGCGUAGGUGGUUUCUUAAGUCAGAGGUGAAAGGCUACGGCUCAACCGUAGUAAGCCUUUGAAACUGAGAAACUUGAGUGCAGGAGAGGAGAGUAGAAUUCCUAGUGUAGCGGUGAAAUGCGUAGAUAUUAGGAGGAAUACCAGUUGCGAAGGCGGCUCUCUGGGACGGUACUGACGCUGAGACGCGAAAGCGUGGGGAGCGAACAGG